rnacentral:rRNA from 1 species
GACGUAGGGCGCGAGCGUUGUCCGGAUUUAUUGGGCGUAAAGAGCUCGUAGGCGGCUUGUCGCGUCGACUGUGAAAACCCGCGGCUCAACCGCGGGCCUGCAUUCGAUACGGGCAGGCUAGAGUUCGGUAGGGGAGACUGGAAUUUACGGUGUAGCAGUGAAAUGCGUAGAGAUCGUAAGGAAGACCAGUGGCGAAGGCGAGUCUCUGGAAAGCUGCUGACGCUGAGGCACGAAGGCCAGGGGAGCAAACGGG